CUUGGUCAUUUAGAGGAAGUAAAAGUCGUAACAAGGUUUCCGUAGGUGAACCUGCGGAAGGAUCAUUAGUGAAUUGAAUAUGUUAGCGGACCUCUUCGGAGUCCCUAGCAUCAAAUCAUAUCCAUAACACCUGUGAACUGUAAGGCUGUCUUGAAAACGAAAGUGAUUAGAGCGCCUGCCCAUUUUAUACAAACAUUAAAGUAACAAACGYRGUCUUAUUAUAAUCUAAUAAAACUUUCAACAACGGAUCUCUUGGCUCUCGCAUCGAUGAAGAACGCAGCGAAAUGCGAUAAGUAAUGUGAAUUGCAGAAUUCAGUGAAUCAUCGAAUCUUUGAACGCACCUUGCGCUCUUUGGUAUUCCGAAGAGCAUGCCUGUUUGAGUGUCAUGAAAAUAUCAACCUUGACUUGGGUUUAGUGCUCUUGUCUUGGCUUGGAUUUGGCUGUUUGCCGCUCGAAAGAGUCGGCUCAGCUUAAAAGUAUUAGCUGGAUCUGUCUUUGAGACUUGGUUUGACUUGGCGUAAUAAGUUAUUUCGCUGAGGACAAUCUUCGGAUUGGCCGAGUUUCUGGGACGUUUGUCCGCUUUCUAAUACAAGUUCUAGCUUGCUAGACGUGACUUUUUUAUUAUCUGGCCUCAAAUCAGGUAGGACUACCCGCUGAACUUAAGCAUAUCAAUAAGCGGAGGA
rnacentral:rRNA from 1 species